UCAUGCAUAUUUACUUGGCAGUUUUAUCAGAACCAUCUCAAGCAAACCUCAGUGUUUUUAUGAUUAAUUGACUAAUGGUAAAAAUAAAGGCGUUUGGAGAGGUGCCCAGCGAGCUGCUGAGCAGUGUGUAAUAUAGCAACCGGAGCCGGAGUCUCAGGGGAUUGUUUCUGGGAAAAUCCACAUUGGUUUAAAGGGACAGUGCUCCUUCUGCUCCCAGAGCAAGGGAAUCCCAGAUCCACAAGCAAAUCAUCAAGCCCUGCAAACUACAUCAUCAGCAUCUUCCUCUGGAAAACAUCAUCAUGUUAAUCCAUUUGUCCUGGCAGCCAGAUGAUUGAGUGCCAGGCUGGGCUUCCUGUUGGACUGGCAAAGGACACACCUGCCCAGUGGGUUUCUGCUGGGAUGGGGGAUCCUGUUAUCAACCGGGACAAAGGGAGCACAGGAAUCUGGAGCUGGUGGAUUCCUUUCCCCAAACAUGUGGCCAGACCUGUAAAUCCAGCUGCCUGGUUUUUUCUGUUUACUGGUUUCCAUCUCUGCUCCAGUAUGUCCUGGGAAUGUGCGGCAGGACUCUCCGCUUCUUCCUGGGAAGCCUGUGGGUGGAACUGGAGCUGGUUUGCCCCUUCCAAAACCUGCCUCAAGGCUUCUUGUGUUUAUUAAACAUCAUCCCGUGUCUGUAUCCUGGGUAUUGUCUUUAGUGCUCUGCUGGCCAUGGGCUCUCGCACUGGUUCUGUGCUUCUGGCUGUGCCCCACAAGUGCUGCUGUUACCCCAAACACAGCAGAAACAACUGUUAGUUGUGGUUCCACUCGACAAGGCAACCUCUAAUUUGGGAUCCCAGCAACAGAAUAACAGAAACUGUCCCUGCUGGGGCUGGGCCUUUGCCGUGGGUUAAUAACCUUGCAGGGCCGGGACCCAAGGGCUCGCAAAAACUCAGAGGGGAGGUUGAAAUGAGCUCUUA